UACGAAGGGGGCUAGCGUUGCUCGGAAUUACUGGGCGUAAAGCGCACGUAGGCGGAUUGUUAAGUCGGGGGUGAAAUCCUGGAGCUCAACUUCAGAAUUGCCUUCGAUACUGGCUUUCUAGAGGCUGGAAGAGGUUAGUGGAAUUCCCAGUGUAGAGGUGAAAUUCGUAGAUAUUGGGAAGAACACCAGUGGCGAAGGCGGCUAACUGGACCACAACUGACGCUGAGGCGCGAAAGCUAGGGGAGCAAACAGGG
rnacentral:rRNA from 1 species